rnacentral:rRNA from 1 species
UACGUAGGGUGCGAGCGUUGUCCGGAAUUACUGGGCGUAAAGAGCUCGUAGGUGGUUUGUCGCGUUGUUCGUGAAAACCGGGGGCUUAACCCUCGGCGUGCGGGCGAUACGGGCAGACUUGAGUACUGCAGGGGAGACUGGAAUUCCUGGUGUAGCGGUGAAAUGCGUAGAUAUCGAGAGGAACACCUGCGGCGAAGGCGGGUAGCUGGGCCGACACUGACGCUGAUGCGCGAAAGCCAGGGAGCGAACGGG